GGCAAUGCUCGAGGCGGUUUUUGGAAGCCCCGUGAUUCGAAACCAACCAGUAUCGCUCUCAGUCGGCUGCGAGACGUGAUCUCGGACAGAGGUCAAAUUGCCAGCCUCCCAAAAUUAGGCCUACCCACGACGCACUGGUGGACACGAACCCCAGACCUGAACAGAGGUCGGACCGCAUUCUUCUACAAGGAUACACAGAAUAUUGCAUAAAGAUUCCCUGAGCCACGUGUCAUGUCUCUGCCCGCAAGUGUUGCAUUACCCAAGUGUAUGAAAACCAGCUAUAACGGCUCAACGGAGCCAUCAUUUACCUUUUCUCCAGCCCAGCACGGGCCUUUUAGUAAAUAAAUAGUUGUUAAGUAA